rnacentral:rRNA from 1 species
UACAGAGGUCUCAAGCGUUGUUCGGAUUCAUUGGGCGUAAAGGGUGCGUAGGCGGCGCGGUAAGUCGGGUGUGAAAUCUCGGGGCUUAACUCCGAAACUGCAUUCGAUACUGCCGUGCUUGAGGACUGGAGAGGAGACUGGAAUUUACGGUGUAGCGGUGAAAUGCGUAGAUAUCUGCAGGAACACCCGUGGCGAAAGCGGCGAGCUGGAUCACUACUGACGCUGAGGAACGAAAGCUAGGGGAGCAAACAGG